AACGAACGCUGGCGGCAUGCCUAACACAUGCAAGUCGAACGAACCCUUCGGGGUUAGUGGCGCACGGGUGCGUAACGCGUGGGAAUCUGCCCUUUGCUUCGGAAUAACAGUUAGAAAUGACUGCUAAUACCGGAUAAUGUCGCAAGACCAAAGAUUUAUCGGCAAAGGAUGAGCCCGCGUAAGAUUAGCUAGUUGGUGGGGUAAUGGCCUACUAAGGCGACGAUCUUUAGCUGGUCUGAGAGGAUGAUCAGCCACACUGGGACUGAGACACGGCCCAGACUCCUACGGGAGGCAGCAGUGGGGAAUAUUGGACAAUGGGCGCAAGCCUGAUCUAGCCAUGCCGCGUGAGCGAUGAAGGCCUUAGGGUUGUAAAGCUCUUUCAGUGGGGAAGAUAAUGACUGUACCCACAGAAGAAGCCCCGGCUAACUCCGUG
rnacentral:rRNA from 1 species